UACGUAGGCAGCAAGCGUUGUUCGGAGUUACUGGGCGUAAAGAGCGUGUAGGCGGCCCGGUAAGUCCGCUGUGAAAGUCCAGGGCUCAACCCUGGAAUGCCGGUGGAAACUGUCGGGCUAGAGUCCGGAAGAGGCGAGUGGAAUUCCUGGUGUAGCGGUGAAAUGCGCAGAUAUCAGGAGGAACACCAAUGGCGAAGGCAGCUCGCUGGGACGGUACUGACGCUGAGACGCGAAAGCGUGGGGAGCAAACAGG
rnacentral:rRNA from 1 species